rnacentral:rRNA from 1 species
UACGUAGGGGGCAAGCGUUGUCCGGAAUCAUUGGGCGUAAAGAGCGUGUAGGCGGCUCGAUAAGUCCGCUGUGAAAGUCCAGGGCUCAACCCUGGAAGGCCGGUGGAAACUGUCGGGCUAGAGUCCGGAAGAGGCGAGUGGAAUUCCCGGUGUAGCGGUGAAAUGCGUAGAUAUCCGGAGGAACACCGGUGGCGAAGGCGGCUUCCUGGACCGACACUGACGCUGAGGCGCGAAAGCUAGGGGAGCAAACGGG